UGAUCCUGGCUCAGGAUGAACGCUGGCGGCGUGCCUAAUACAUGCAAGUCGAACGAAACUUCUUUAUCACCGAGUGCUUGCACUCACCGAUAAAGAGUUGAGUGGCGAACGGGUGAGUAACACGUGGGCAACCUGCCCAAAAGAGGGGGAUAACACUUGGAAACAGGUGCUAAUACCGCAUAACCAUAGUUACCGCAUGGUAACUAUGUAAAAGGUGGCUAUGCUACCGCUUUUGGAUGGGCCCGCGGCGCAUUAGCUAGUUGGUGGGGUAAAGGCUUACCAAGGCAAUGAUGCGUAGCCGAACUGAGAGGUUGAUCGGCCACAUUGGGACUGAGACACGGCCCAAACUCCUACGGGAGGCAGCAGUAGGGAAUCUUCCACAAUGGGCGAAAGCCUGAUGGAGCAACGCCGCGUGGGUGAAGAAGGUCUUCGGAUCGUAAAACCCUGUUGUUAGAGAAGAAAGUGCGUGAGAGUAACUGUUCACGUUUCGACGGUAUCUAACCAGAAAGCCACGGCUAACUACGUGCCAGCAGCCGCGGUAAUACGUAGGUGGCAAGCGUUAUCCGGAUUUAUUGGGCGUAAAGGGAACGCAGGCGGUCUUUUAAGUCUGAUGUGAAAGCCUUCGGCUUAACCGGAGUAGUGCAUUGGAAACUGGGAGACUUGAGUGCAGAAGAGGAGAGUGGAACUCCAUGUGUAGCGGUGAAAUGCGUAGAUAUAUGGAAGAACACCAGUGGCGAAAGCGGCUCUCUGGUCUGUAACUGACGCUGAGGUUCGAAAGCGUGGGUAGCAAACAGGAUUAGAUACCCUGGUAGUCCACGCCGUAAACGAUGAAUGCUAAGUGUUGGAGGGUUUCCGCCCUUCAGUGCUGCAGCUAACGCAAUAAGCAUUCCGCCUGGGGAGUACGACCGCAAGGUUGAAACUCAAAGGAAUUGACGGGGGCCCGCACAAGCGGUGGAGCAUGUGGUUUAAUUCGAAGCAACGCGAAGAACCUUACCAGGCCUUGACAUCCCCCCGGAUAUCCCGUAACGGGGGUAGCCCUCCGGGGCGGGGGAGACAGGUGGUGCAUGGUUGUCGUCAGCUCGUGUCGUGAGAUGUUGGGUUAAGUCCCGCAACGAGCGCAACCCUUAUUGUUAGUUGCCAGCAUUAAGUUGGGCACUCUAGCAAGACUGCCGGUGACAAACCGGAGGAAGGUGGGGAUGACGUCAAAUCAUCAUGCCCCUUAUGACCUGGGCUACACACGUGCUACAAUGGACGGUACAACGAGUCGCAAGACCGCGAGGUUUAGCAAAUCUCUUAAAGCCGUUCUCAGUUCGGAUUGUAGGCUGCAACUCGCCUACAUGAAGUCGGAAUCGCUAGUAAUCGCGGAUCAGCAUGCCGCGGUGAAUACGUUCCCGGGCCUU
rnacentral:rRNA from 1 species